rnacentral:rRNA from 1 species
ACCAGGUCUUGACAUCCGAUGCUAUUCUAGAGAUAGAAAGGUUACUUCGGUACAUCGGUGACAGGUGGUGCAUGGUUGUCGUCAGCUCGUGUCGUGAGAUGUUGGGUUAAGUCCCGCAACGAGCGCAACCCCUAUUGUUAGUUGCCAUCAUUCAGUUGGGCACUCUAGCGAGACUGCCGGUAAUAAACCGGAGGAAGGUGGGAUGACGUCAAAUCAUCAUGCCCCUUAUGACCUGGGCUACACACGUGCUACAAUGGUUGGUACAACGAGUUGCGAGUCGGUGACGGCGAGCUAAUCUCUUAAAGCCAAUCUCAGUUCGGAUUGUAGGCUGCAACUCGCCUACAUGAAGUCGGAAUCGCUAGUAAUCGCGGAUCAGCACGCCGCGGUGAAUACGUUCCCGGGCCUU